UCCCUGAUGGUCCAGUGGUUAAGACUCUGCACUCCCACUGAAGGGGGCUUGGGUUCGAUCCCCGGUCAAGGAA